rnacentral:lncRNA from 1 species
GCACCUAAACAGAAGUGGCACUAGGGUGUUGCCCGCCAAAGUUCACCUUCUGGAAGCCCGGAAUAGGGUCAAAGGCCACACAUACAUCAGAGAAGCUGAACAGAGCAGCCCUGUCUUUCCAUAGUCCAUAGUUGGAAGACCCAUGACUGGGAGAUCGUAUGCCUGUAUGGUGAGAAGUGUCCAGGCACAAGUGAGAGGAGACAGCACUGUGUACCCUGAGCAUCCGAGGUGAGUAUCUCAAAGUCGGGAUGCUCUUACCUUUACCUGCCUUCUCUCUCUUCCUAUCUCCUCAAGGGGCAGGGCAGAGUCCACACAGAAGCACCCACCGGCUCCCCUCUCUCCUCCCAAGAUCCAUUCAUCCCAAGGCAUGUGUGUUUUGGCUGGGUGGGGAG